rnacentral:tRNA from 1 species
AGCCAGUGUGGCAUAGUGAUUUGAGUGUUGGACUAUGACUCUGGAGAUCAGGGUUCGAUUCCCAGCUUGGCUA